rnacentral:rRNA from 1 species
GACGUAGGGCGCGAGCGUUGUCCGGAUUUAUUGGGCGUAAAGAGCUCGUAGGCGGUUUGUCGCGUCGUCUGUGAAAACCCACGGCUCAACUGUGGGCUUGCAGGCGAUACGGGCAGGCUAGAGUUCGGUAGGGGAGACUGGAAUUCCUGGUGUAGCGGUAAAAUGCGCAGAUAUCAGGAGGAACACCGGUGGCGAAGGCGGGUCUCUGGGCCGAUACUGACGCUGAGGAGCGAAAGCGUGGGGAGCGAACAGG